CCUACGGGAGGCAGCAGUCGAGAAUCUUCGGCAAUGGGCGAAAGCCUGACCGAGCGACGCCGCGUGUGGGAUGAAGGCCCUUGGGUUGUAAACCACUGUCAGAGGGGAUGAAAUGCCAGGGAGUUAUCUCUCUGGUUUGACAUAGCCUCAGAGGAAGCACGGGCUAAGUUCGUGCCAGCAGCCGCGGUAAGACGAACUGUGCAAACGUUAUUCGGAAUCACUGGGCUUAAAGGGUGCGUAGGCGGUUUUGUAAGUAGGGUGUGAAAGCCCCCGGCUCAACCGGGGAAUUGCGCCCUAAACUGCAAGGCUGGAGUGAGGUAGGGGUGUGCGGAACUUCCAGUGGAGCGGUGAAAUGUGUUGAUAUUGGAAGGAACGCCGGUGGCGAAAGCGGCACACUGGGGCUUGUCUGACGCUGAGGCACGAAAGCCAGGGGAGCGAACGGGAUUAGAUACCCUGGUAGUC
rnacentral:rRNA from 1 species